rnacentral:ncRNA from 2 species
UUAUAUUCCACAGCAAACGGUGCUAAGAUUAGCUUAAAAGGGAAUCCGGUGAGAUACCGGAACUGUCCCCGCAACUGUAAGUGUGACGAAAUGGGCAUACCACUGUACGGCUUCGUACGGGAAGGGCUCAAAGUAGGAGGAAGCACAAGUCAGGAGACCUGCCGAUGCUGGAUAUGUUUC